rnacentral:rRNA from 1 species
CACGGGGGUUGCGAGCGUUGUCCGGAAUUACUAGGCGUAAAGGGCAGGCAGGCGGAUCCAUAAGUUUAUCGUUUAAGGCGUUGGCUUAACCGGCGUAGGGCGGUAGAUACUGUGGAUCUGGAAUGCGGUUGGGGAAGACAGAAUUCCUGGUGUAGCGGUGGAAUGCGCAGAGAUCAGGAGGAAUACCGAAGGCGAAGGCAGUCUUCCAAGCCGUUAUUGACGCUCAACUGCGAAGGUGUGGGGUAUCAAACAGGAUUAGAUACCCGCGUAGUCCCUGAG